rnacentral:rRNA from 1 species
UACGUAGGGUGCAAGCGUUAAUCGGAAUUACUGGGCGUAAAGCGUGCGCAGGCGGUUUUGUAAGUCUGUCGUGAAAUCCCCGGGCUCAACCUGGGAAUUGCGAUGGAGACUGCAAGGCUAGAAUCUGGCAGAGGGGGGGUAGAAUUCCACGUGUAGCAGUGAAAUGCGUAGAGAUGUGGAGGAACACCGAUGGCGAAGGCAGCCCCCCUGGGUCAAGAUUGACGCUCAUGCA